rnacentral:rRNA from 1 species
CCAUCCGCCUCAGCAAGCAACAAUCCCUCGCA